UGGGCCAAAUUGAAGGAAUAGGUUGAUC
rnacentral:piRNA from 1 species